GAUGAACGCUAGCGGCAGGCCUAACACAUGCAAGUCGAGGGGCAGCGGGAGUAGCUUGCUACUUGCCGGCGAUCGGCGCACGGGUGCGCAACGCGUAUGGAACCUGCCCUUUACAGGGGAAUAGCCCAGAGAAAUUUGGAUUAAUGCCCCGUGGUACCGUUAUGCAGCAUUGCAUUUCGGUUAAAGCCCUCGGGCGGUAAGGGAUGGCCAUGCGUAGCAUUAGCUUGUUGGUGGGGUAACGGCCCACCAAGGCUGCGAUGCUUAGGGGCCCUGAGAGGGGGAUCCCCCACACUGGUACUGAGACACGGACCAG
rnacentral:rRNA from 1 species